rnacentral:rRNA from 1 species
CGGUGACGAGGAGCUUGCUCCUCUGAUCAGUGGCGAACGGGUGAGUAACACGUGAGCAACCUGCCCCAGACUCUGGGAUAACAGUUGGAAACAGCUGCUAAUACCGGAUACGAGACGGAGAGGCAUCUCUACCGUCUGGAAAGUUUUUCGGUCUGGGAUGGACUCGCGGCCUAUCAGCUAGUUGGUGAGGCAAUGGCUCACCAAGGCGACGACGGGUAGCCGGCCUGAGAGGGCGACCGGCCACACUGGGACUGAGACACGGCCCAGACUCCUACGGGAGGCAGCAGUGGGGAAUAUUGCACAAUGGGCGAAAGCCUGAUGCAGCGACGCCGCGUGAGGGAUGAAGGCCUUCGGGUUGUAAACCUCUUUCAGCAGGGAAGAAGCGAAAGUGACGGUACCUGCAGAAGAAGCACCGGCUAACUACGUGCCAGCAGCCGCGGUAAUACGUAAGGUGCGAGCGUUGUCCGGAAUUAUUGGGCGUAAAGAGCUUGUAAGCGGUUUGUCGCGUCUGCAGUGAAAAUCCGGGGCUCAACCCCCGGACUUGCUGUGGGUUACCGGCAGACUAUAGUAUGGUAGGGGAGACCGGAAUUCCUGGUGUAG